GAGUGGAGGCGGCGCGUGCGCGGGGAGGGCGGCUUCCCUGCCCGAGCGAAGAUGGCGGCCUCCUGAGCCAGCCUCUGAAGGGGGGGCGAGAGAGUUGAGUUGUAGCGGCUGAAGCUCAGCCGGGGAGAGAGGACGAGAACCCGCUCGGCCUCGGCGGGGACAGAAGCAGCUCUGAAGCUGCGGGCUUGGGGCGCUCCCUUUGCCGUGCGAGGCUUGGGGAGCCUGGGCAGCGCCGCUCCCCGGCCAGGUAUUGGCACAAAAUGAAUAUAAUUAGGGAAAACAAAGAUUUGGCCUGUUUCUACACAACAAAACAUUCAUGGAGGGGCAAGUAUAAGCGUGUUUUUUCAGUUGGAACUCAUGCUAUCACUACGUACAAUCCCAACACAUUAGAAGUUACAAAUCAGUGGCCUUAUGGAGACAUCUGUAGCAUUAGUCCCGUUGGAAGAGGACAAGGAACAGAAUUCAGCCUCACAUUUCGUAAAGGGACUGGGAAAAAGUCUGAAACACUUAAAUUUUCUACAGAGCACAGAACAGAGCUCCUUACUGAAGCACUGAGAUUCAGAACAGAUUUUGCUGAAGGAAAAAUCACCGGAAGGAGAUAUAACUGUUUCAAGCACCACUGGAGUGAUACAAGAAAACCUGUAAUUCUAGAGGUGACUCCUGGAGGCUUUGAUCAAAUUAAUCCUGCCACAAAUAAAGUUCUGUGUUCUUAUGACUAUAGAAAUAUUGAAGGAUUUGUUGAUCUCUCUGAUUAUCCAGGAGGUUUCUGUAUACUUUAUGGAGGAUUUAGUAGACUACAUUUAUUUGCUUCUGAGCAAAGGGAAGAAAUUAUCAAGAGUGCAAUUGAUCAUGCUGGUAAUUAUGUUGGCAUCCUCUUGAGGAUAAGGAAGGAGCCUUUAGAAUUUGAGCAGUAUUUGAGUCUUCGAUUUGGGAAAUACAGCAACGAUGAAUCUAUCACAUCUUUAGCAGAGUUUGUGGUGCAAAAGAUAACUCCUAGACAUUCGGAACCAGUGAAAAGGAUAUUGGCUCUUACAGAAACUUGCUUAGUGGAACGUGACCCUGCUACGUAUAAUAUUGCAACACUGAAACCCUUAGGAGAGGUAUUUGCAUUAGUGUGUGAUUCAGAAAACCCACAGCUCUUUACCAUAGAGUUUAUCAAGGGACAAAUCCGAAAAUACUCUUCAACAGAGAGGGAUUCAUUGUUAGCCAGUUUACUAGAUGGUGUAAGAGCGUCUGGUAAUAGGGAUGUCUGUGUGAAAAUGACGCCAACAGACAAAGGCCAGCGGUGGGGUCUCUUAAGUAUGCCGGUGGAUGAGGAAGUUGAAAGUCUUCAUCUAAGAUUCUUGGCAGCACCUCCAAAUGGCAUCUUUGCAGAUUCAGUCUUUAGGUUCAAUGCUAACAUUUCAUACAGUGGAGUUCUGCAUGCGGUAACACAAGAUGGCCUGUUUUCAGAAAACAAAGAAAAAUUAAUAAAUAAUGCCAUAACAGCGUUACUCUCGCAAGAAGGUGAUAUCGCAGCAUCUAAUGCAGAGCUUGAAAGCCAGUUCCAAGCGGUUAGAAGAUUAGUUGCCUCAAAAGCAGGGUUUCUUGCGUUCACUCAGCUUCCAAAGUUUCGGGAACGCCUGGGUGUGAAGGUAGUGAAGGCUCUCAAAAGGAACAAUGGUGGAGUCACUCAUGCUUCCAUUGAUAUGCUUUGUGCCCUCAUGUGUCCCAUGCAUGAUGACUAUGACCUGAGGCAAGAGCAGCUAAACAAAGCAUCCCUUCUUUCUUCAAAGAAGUUUCUGGAAAACUUAUUGGAGAAAUUUAAUUCCCAUGUGGAACAUGGAACAGGCGCCCUAGUUAUUAGUUCACUUUUGGACUUCCUUACUUUUGCUCUAUGUGCUCCAUAUAGUGAGACUACAGAAGGGCAGCAGUUUGAUAUGUUGCUAGAGAUGGUUGCAUCUAACGGGAGGACCCUCUUUAAACUCUUUCAGCACCCUUCCAUGGCCAUUGUGAAAGGAGCUGGGUUGGUUAUGAAGGCAAUAAUAGAGGAGGGAGAUAAAGAGAUAGCAACCAAAAUGCAAGAUCUUGCCCUCAGUGAAGGUGCCUUACCUCGUCAUUUGCACACUGCUAUGUUUACAAUAAGCACAGAUCAAAGGAUGCUCACAAACCGACAGCUAAGUAGGCAUUUAGUGGGCCUGUGGACAGCUGAAAACGCAACUGCUCUGAAUUUGUUGAAGCGUAUUUUGCCAUCAGGUUUGCUAUUUUACCUAGACAGCAGUGACCCUGUUCCUGAAAAGGAUGCUGAUCGGAUGCACAUUAGAGAUAAUUUAAAGAUAGCAAAUGAUCAAUAUGGCAAGUUUAAUAAAGUGCCAGAGUGGCAAAGACUUGCAGGAAAAGCUGCUAAGGAAGUUGAAAAAUUUGCCAAAGAGAAGGUGGAUCUUGUUUUGAUGCACUGGAGAGACAAGAUGGGAAUAGCUCAGAAAGAGGACAGAAACAAUAUGAAUAUUAAUCAGAAACCAGUCAUAUUGAGAAAACGAAGGCAAAGAAUAAAAAUACAAGCAAACUGGGAUCUCUUCUAUUACAGAUUUCUUCAAGAUCAUGCUAGAUCCAACCUGAUUUGGAAUUUCAAAACCCGGGAAGAAUUGAGAGACACCCUGGAGUCUGAAAUGCGGGCAUUUCAGAUCGAUAGAGAACUUGGCAGCGCUAAUGUCAUCUCAUGGAAUCACCAUGAAUUUGAGGUAAAGUAUGAAUGCCUCUCAGAAGAAAUAAAAAUAGGAGAUUAUUACCUGAGAUUGCUGCUGGAAGAAGAUGAAAGUGAAGAAACUGGAGCAAUAAAAAAAUCGUAUGAAUUUUUCAAUGAAUUGUACCACCGUUUCCUGCUAACUCCUAAAAUAAAUAUGAAAUGUCUCUGCUUGCAAGCCUUGGCCAUUGUUUAUGGCAGAUGCUAUGAAGAAAUAGGCCCGUUUGGUGACACCAGAUAUAUUGUUGGGAUGUUGGAAAGGAGCACUGACAGACUUGAGCGGGACCGACUGAUACUGUUCCUUAACAAGCUCAUUCUCAACAAGAAAAAUGUCAAGGAGCUCAUGGAUUCAAAUGGUAUCCGAAUCCUUGUGGAUCUCCUCACUCUGGCUCACCUUCACACAAGCAGGGCUACAGUGCCAUUGCAAAGCAAUGUAAUUGAAGCAUCACCUGAUAUGAAGAGAGAGAGUGAGAAAGAGUGGUAUUUUGGCAAUGCGGACAAAGAGAGAAGUGGUCCUUACAGCUUUCAUGAGAUGCAGGAUUUGUGGACCAAAGGGAAGCUGACGUCGAAAACACGUUGUUGGGCCCAGGGCAUGGAUGGGUGGCGCCCACUGCAGGUCAUCCCUCAGCUGAAGUGGUGCCUCCUUGCCACCGGACAGGCUGUACUGAAUGAGACGGAUCUUGCUACGCUUAUUCUCAACAUGCUGGUCACAAUGUGUAGCUAUUUUCCUAGUAGAGAUCAGGACAAUGCCAUCAUAAGACCUCUGCCUAGAGUGAAGAGACUGCUUUCAGACAGCACUUGUCUUCCCCAUAUCAUUCAGCUGUUGCUGACUUUUGACCCCAUCCUUGUUGAGAAAGUGGCCAUAUUGCUGUUCUACAUCAUGCAAGACAACCCGCAGUUACCUCGUCUAUACCUCAGUGGAGUGUUCUUUUUCAUCAUGAUGUACACUGGUUCCAAUGUACUCCCUGUUGCAAGGUUUCUGAAGUAUACACAUUCAAAGCAGGCUUUCAAAUCUGAAGAGACAAAAGGGCAAGAUAUCGUUCAGAGGAGUAUUCUUGGACACAUCCUGCCUGAAGCCAUGGUGUGCUACUUAGAAAACUAUGAACCAGAGAAGUUUUCUGAAAUAUUUUUAGGUGAAUUUGACACUCCAGAAGCUAUUUGGAGUAAUGAAAUGAGGCGCCUCAUGAUAGAGAAAAUUGCUGCCCAUCUUGCUGACUUCACGCCUCGUCUUCAAAGUAAUACAAGAGCACUUUAUCAAUAUUGCCCAAUCCCAGUAAUCAACUACCCUCAACUGGAGAAUGAGCUGUUUUGUAACAUUUAUUACCUCAGACAUCUUUGUGAUAAACUGCGGUUUCCUGACUGGCCAAUUAAAGAUCCCGUUAAACUAUUGAAAGAUACCCUGGAUGCUUGGAAGAAGGAGGUAGAGAAGAAGCCGCCUACAAUGUCAAUAGAUGAUGCUUACGAAGUCCUCCAUCUUCCAAAAGGACAAGGGCAGCAUGAUGAGAGCAAGAUCAGGAAAGCAUAUUUCAGAUUGGCUCAGAAAUAUCACCCUGACAAGAAUCCAGAAGGUCGAGAUAUGUUUGAAAAAGUGAAUAAAGCUUAUGAGUUUUUAUGUACAAAAUCAGCCAAAGUAGUGAAUGGUCCAGAUCCUGAAAAUAUAAUUUUGAUUCUGAAAGCCCAAAGCAUCCUCUUCAACAGACACAAAGAAGAGCUGAAGCCCUACAAAUAUGCAGGCUAUCCUAUGCUGAUCAAGACCAUCACCCUAGAAACUUCAGAUGACCUCUUGUUCUCCAAGGAAUCUCCUCUGUUGCCUUCUGCGACUGAACUAGCUUUCUACACUGUCAAUUGUUCAGCACUUAAUGCAGAAGAGCUCAGAAGAGAGAAUGGAAUAGAGGUUUUGCAAGAGGCAUUUAAUCGAUGUGUUGCGGUGCUGACGCGCUCCAGUAAACCAGAUGAUAUGUCAGUCCAGGUGUGUGGCCAUAUAAGUAAGUGUUACAGCGUGGCAGCUCAGUUUGAAGAUUGCAGAGAGAAAAUAACCGAAAUGCCAAAUAUCAUCAAGGACCUCUGUCGAGUGCUGUAUUAUGGCAAAAACAUUCCACGUGUGGCUUCCCUGGGAGUAGAAUGUGUCAGCUCGUUUGCUGUGGAUUACUUACUACAGACACAUCUCUUUGGAGCUGGAGUUCUAUGGUAUUUACUUGGUUACCUCUUCAACUAUGAUUACACACUGGAAGAGAGUGGUAUUCAGAAGAGUGAAGAUUCCAAUCAACAGGAAGUCGCCAAUAGCCUUGCCAAACUUGGCCUCCUUGCUUUGAGCCGUCUUGGAGGAUAUCUUCCUGGAGAACAAGCUACACCUGAAAACCCAACCAUCAGAAAAAGUCUUGCAAGCAUGCUUACUCCUUAUGUUGCAAGAAAUCUGGCAGUGGUUGGUCCCACUGAGAUUCUGAAGAUGCUGAACAGCAACACGGAGAGCCCUUACUUGAUUUGGAACAAUCGGACGAGAGCAGAGCUCCUCGAGUUCCUAGAAUCUCAGCAGGAAAGCAUGAUAAAAAGAGGCGACUGUGACAAAAGUUACGGGUCAGAAUUUGUCUUCAGCGAUCAUGCAAAAGAACUUAUUGUAGGAGAAAUUUUUGUUAGAGUGUACAACGAAGUCCCCACAUUCCAGCUAGAGCUUCCGAAAGCGUUUGCUGCAAGUCUUUUAGAUUAUAUAGGCUCUCAAGCUCAGUACCUUCAUACAUUGAUGGCUAUCACUCAGACUGGGAAAGUAGAAUCUAACCAACAUGGAGAGAGGCUCAGAAGAGUUGAAAUGGCUUUGGAGGCUCUGAGGAAUGUAAUAAAACAUAACCCAGGUUCAGAGUGUGAAUGCAUAGGACACUUUAAGUUAAUAUUCUCCCUUCUUCGUGUCCACGGAGCUGGUCAAGUACAACAGCUGGCUUUGGAGGUGGUGAAUAUAGUAACUAGUAACCAAGAGUGUGUUAACAAUAUUGCAGAGGCAAUGGUUCUUUCCAAUUUACUGGCCCUUCUGCAUUCACUGCCUUCAAGUCGGCAGCUUGUUCUCGAAACUCUGUACGCUUUGACGUCUAGUACCAAAAUCAUUAAGGAAGCGAUAGCAAAAGGUGCUUUAAUCUACUUGCUCGAUAUGUUCUGCAACUCAACCCACCCACAAGUUCGAUCUCAGACCGCAGAGCUCUUUGCCAAAAUGACGGCAGAUAAGCUGGUGGGUCCAAAGGUGAGGAUUAUCCUUACGAAGUUUCUGCCUGGCGUGUUUAUGGAUGCCAUGAGAGAUAAUUCUGAAGCUGCUGUUCAUAUUUUUGAAGGAACGCAUGAAAAUCCCGAGUUAAUAUGGAAUGACAACUCCAGGGAGAAAGUAUCCACCACUGUUCGUGAAAUGAUGCUAGAGCACUUUAAACUACAGAGGGACAACCCAGAUGUUAACUGGAAGUUGCCUGAGGACUUUGCUGUGGUGUAUGGCGAAGCAGAAGGAGAAUUAUCUGUAGGGGGAGUCUUCCUAAGAAUUUUUAUUGCCCAGCCGGCUUGGGUGCUUCGAAAACCUAGAGAAUUUCUCAUUGCACUGUUAGAAAAAUUCACUGAACUACUGGAGAAGAAUAACCCGCAUGGGGAAACCCUAGAAACCAUAACAACGGCAACGGUCUGCCUCUUUAGUGCUCAGCCUCAGCUAGCAGACCAAGUCCCCCCACUUGGCCACCUUCCCAAGAUUCUCCAGGCCAUGAAUCACAAGAACAAUGCCAUUCCUAAAAGUGCCAUGCGGGUCAUACACAUCCUGGCUGACAAUGAGCUUUGUGUUCGUUCGAUGGCAGCGCUGGAGACCAUUGGCCCUAUGAUGAACGGAAUGAAAAAGCGACCAGAUACUAUUGGGGUAGCCUGUGAAGCGCUUAAUCGAAUGUUUCAAAAAGAGCAAAAUGAUUUAGUAGCCCAAGCACUGAAAGCAGACUUGGUCCUGUAUCUUCUAAAAUUGCUUGAAGGCAUUGGCCUUGAAAAUCUGGAAAGCCCUUCAGCCACAAAAGCUCAGAUUGUGAAAGCCUUGAAAUCUAUGACUCGCAGCUUACAGUACGGAGAGCAGGUAAAUGAAAUCUUGUCUCGUUCUUCUGUGUGGAGUGCCUUUAAAGAUCAGAAACAUGACUUGUUCAUUUCUGAAACUCAGACAGCAGGAUACCUCACAGGUAUCUCCUCUCCUUCCCUUCUGUCUGGUAGCAGUCCCCUUCAUCUCAGAAGUGGGCUUUAGAUCUACUCUGGCAGGCAGCUUGCUAAACUUCUCUCUAGUGCUCUAAAGCAGGUCCUGGUGUUGCUGGCUACCUUACUUCGGGGAGGUCGUCAUCUGUCCUGCCCAGCGUUCCACCUCCAGUGGACCAUGAAGCUGGAGAUACCAGUUAAAGGACAUGAAAUCCCCAUGUGUGAGAGAGACUCCACGACGGACUGGCCAGUGAUGAAGAAGGCCUCCAUUCCUCAGUCUAAAUAGUUGAAACGAAUUUUGCUUGCCUUUCCAGUUUCAUGACAGUGUUAUUCCUUUUUCUAUGAAUAUAUUUUUUUUAGAAAAAAAAUUUCACAAUUCUAUCACAUUGUAACAUAAGAAGAAAGUACUCUGUGGAUCACUUAAAUAGGGUACAGAAGAUUUUUUUUUUCUUGCUGUACGUGAGCACAUUUUUGUUCCUUUAUAUUUUUGUUUACAAGACUGUGAAUCAAACAACACUUUUCCUAGUUUUUUGUACCUUAUGAACUUGGCAUGACUGGAGUUGAGCUACAGUCUUGAAGAAUUGGGCUAAAUCACUUGAUCCUCCCACCUUCUCUAAGAAGAACACUUUCCUCAUCUCCAAGUUGGAUGUGAUCAUCCGUCUUGAACUUGGCUGACUUGAUGUUUACUUGUGUCCUCGAUCAUUAACAUUACCCUUUACAAGACCUAACAAGAUAUUUCUAUGUAUAACUGGCUUUACCAAAUUGAAAAAUGUAAGUGCAGCAAAAAAAGAAAAGAAACUAUUUAAAAAAUAACAUGUUAUAUAAAAGCAUAGUGUAAUUGUGAUAUGUUCUAUACAUUAUCCCAUAUAUAAAACUUUCUAUAUUGAAUGUACAUUAUGCAGAUCAUUCACAUGUACAUAAAAUUUUAAAAAAUAAAGGGAACUGAAAUCCUUGUUAAUGAGA